rnacentral:rRNA from 1 species
GCCGUAGGUGAACCUGCGGAGGGAUCAUUAAUUGAAUAUGCGCCGAGGGCGCCACCCCCCCGGGGGAUCAAUGGCGUGCCAAAGCACUCCCUCUCGCGGCCGGCCUCGGCCACCGCGGGAGGUGAAUCAUAUAACCCAAUGUUGUCCGACCGUGUUGCCUCGGGGGCGACCCUGCCUUUGGGCUCGGGGGUCCCCGGUGGACAUUACCAAAACUCUUGCGUAUCUUUGUCGUCUGAGUGAUUAUAUCAAUCAAAUUAAAACUUUCAACAACGGAUCUCUUGGUUCUGGCAUCGAUGAAGAACGCAGCGAAAUGCGAUAAGUAAUGUGAAUUGCAGAAUUCAGUGAAUCAUCGAAUCUUUGAACGCACAUUGCGCCCCUUGGUAUUCCGGGGGGCAUGCCUGUUCGAGCGUCAUUUCACCACUCAAGCCUCGCUUGGUAUUGGGCGACGCGGUCCGCCGCGCGCCCCAAAUCGACCGGCUGGGUCGAUCGUCCCCUCAGCGUUGUGGCAACUAUUCGCCGAAGGGUUUGACGGUCGGUCACGCCGCAAAACAAAACCUCAUUUCUAAGGUUGACCUCGGAUCAGGUAGGGAUACCCGCUGAACUUAAGCAUAUCAAUAAGCGGAGGC